rnacentral:lncRNA from 1 species
UUUUUUUUAUUGUUUGUUUCGUUAAGGUCACGUUUAUUUUUUCUAUGAAUACGUAGAGAGAGAGAGAGAGAGAAGAGUAUGUGUUUGGUUCAUGUGGAUAACUAUGAUUAAAGGACUAAUGUUGAAUGAGAUUCGAAUUACGAGGAGCAUAAAGUGUUAGGGAACUUAUGAUUAAGGUCAUUGUCUGAGAAAUCUAUCUUUCAUUUUAAUUACAA